CCCUCCGAGGCGCACGCUGGUGGUCCUCGCUGGCUCCGGUUACCAGAGGGACCUGCGGCCGCCCCUGGCCAGCGCCGCAGCCCCCCGGGAGCCCGGCCCCGAGGUGUGAGUGAACGAGAGCCGACAGGUACUCCAGGAACCUGAGGGAUACAAAUAGUCCUAUGAUAAGGAAAUCAAGAGGAACUUCCACUCAAGGGACAUCCACACAUGCUUCUUCAAUGCAGCUGGCCAUGGUGGAUGACCAGAGAAGCAAAGCAGGGAGUGUCCACAGCAAAGUGAGCAGCGACUAUGGCAGCCUCCACAGGUCCUGUGAUGGCAGGUACACUUCUGCAGUUACAUAGGAAUGGAAGAGACUACCUCAUAGCAGCAUGUCACGACUUACAGAUCACUCCAGGCACAGUAGUUCCCAUCAGCUCAAUGAACAGUCACGACAUAGCGGCAUCAGAGAUCUCAGUAAUAAUCCUAUGACUCACAUCACACAUGGUACCUGCAUGAAUCGAGUUGUUGAAGAAGAUGGAACCAGUGCUCAAACUGUGCUGUCUAAGGUGGAACAUUUGUGCUGUUUAAAAAGAUUUUAUUCUUUGCCUUUGCAUGACUGAUUGCUAUAACUCAGUUAUGAUGCUUUCAGUCAGGUGCAGAUUGUAUCCAUUGAAAGGUAAAUUUUUGCUUUUUAUAUUGCAUCAAACUUGGAACCUCAAGGCAUCCAAAAUGCUAAGAAUGAUAUGAUCACAUGAAUAACUCUUAUUUCUAGGUGAUGAAGAAAUAAUUAUUUGUCUGGUAAGCAUUUUUAUAAACACACUUGUUUUAUAUUUGGAAAAAUCCUAAAUGUAUGGUGACUGCUUUAUAGUGAACUUUCAUAUAAUAUCAACUAGUUGUGAGGUAACAUUCUGGUAGUUAGUUCUGUUAAUAAAACAAAAUUUCAGAAUUAAAAUUUUCUAUGCAAGGUUUAUUUCUCAGAUGAAUAGUAGGACUUUGUAGUUUUCUUUCCACUAAGUGAAAAAGAACUGUUUUUAUUAUUAUAAUUUUUUUAAAAGAACUGUUUUUAAACCGUAGGCGAAUUUGAUAAAUCAGCAAGGGUAUUUUAGCUAAUAGAAUAUAAAAUCAACUGAAGAAUCUGAUUAGUCUACUGAGACUCUUUUGAAAUUCUGUCAAAAUAGUCUUUAUCCAGAGAAAUACAGGAGUAGAAUUAGCAACAGAGUAAAAGCAGAGAUGGACAUUUUUUCCUCAGUAAUUGUGCUGUCUUUAUUUAGUAAAUAUUACUUUUAUUGGCUGUAUUUUUAUAUUGAUAACAUCCAUAUGCAUGACAGAAAAUUUUUACUUUUAGCCAUUUUUUUCCCAUGUAGUAGUAUUGACUUGUAGAGAACCUCAUAUUCAGAUAUGUUCUAUGGAAGGGUAUAAGAUAAGCAUCACACACUGUAAGCCUUUUUCUAGUAACCAUAAUUACAAAACAGCAAAGUGUUUCCUCUGUAUCUGUUAUUGUGUUUUUCGCAGUGAGAUGUAAUCUUGCCAAAGCUGCCAGAUGUUGGUAUCCAGGCCCCUCCUAUCAGUGGACUUGUUUCACUUGCAUUGCCCAGUAGCCAAUAAGCUAUAGCUUUUGCCCCACACCCAUAUCUUCAGAUUCUGGGUCAUUCUUCUUUACAAUUGAAAUAUAUAUAUAAUCCUAGUACACAGUGGUGAUUAAUUUGGGAUAUUUGAAAUUCAUUGUAGCUUAAUGAAGCAUGAUUAGUCCUGCUGUGAAGUAUCUUUUAACUUUAAAAAUAUCAACUCAAAAAUCUUUGACAUUUUGUCUUGUAAUAUUUAAAUAACUCAUCAUAAAAAUUGUAAACUGUAUUAGGCAUGAUAAUGAUCAGAAGGGAAAGAAAAAUUUUGGAAAAUGCUGGAUGUGUUAUGUAGACAAGCAUAUUUAAACAAGCCAUCCUCAACCCUGACUGCUGUUAAGAAUCACUUGGGGAACCUCGGAUGCCUGACACCUUCCUCUCAUUGAGAUGAGGACUGGUAGUUUUAUACAAAGCUUCCCCAGUGAUUCUAAUCUGCUGCAGGCCUGACUGCAGGCUGUUUGAAACUAACUUGCCCCUGCUGACAAUGUGAUGGCAUCCUAUCAUAUCGUAUCAUAUCAUGAAAACCUAGCUGGACACAAUGUUAGGCUUUUAUAUCCAUUACCUGACUGAUCUACAACUGGAAUUCUGGACCUCACUUCUAACAAUUCAUACUCAGUAAGUUAAAGGUGAUGGUUCAGUUCAGUUCAGUUCAGUUGCCCAGUCGUGUCCAACUCUUUGCGACCCCAUGAAU